rnacentral:rRNA from 1 species
UUUUAAAUGGCCGCAGUAUUUUGACUGUGCAAAGGUAGCAUAAUCAUUAGUUUUUUAAUUAAAAGCUUGUAUGAAAGGCUGGACGAGGUAAAAUCUGUCUCUAUUUAAAUUAUAGUAGAAUUUAACUUUUAAGUUAAAAGGCUUAAAUAUUAUUAAAAGACGAGAAGACCCUAUAGAUCUUUAUAGUUUAUUAAAUUAAAUUAAUUUAGAAAUAUUAAUAUUUUAUUUAAUUAAGUUAUUUUAUUGGGGUAAUAAAAAGAUUGAAUUAAUUCUUUUUUAUAAUAAACAUUAAUUUAUGAAUAUUAAUGAUCCAGUUUUAUUGAUUAUAAGAUUAAGUUACCUUAGGGAUAACAGCGUAAUUUUUUUAGAGAGUUCAUAUCGAUAAAAAAGUUUGCGACCUCGAUGUUGGAUUAAAGAUUAUUUUAGGUGUAGAAGCUUAAUAAUUUUGGUCUGUUCGACCAUUAAAUCUUUACAUGAUCUGAGUUCAGACCGGCGUAAGCCAGGUCGGUUUCUAUCUUUAAUAAAAUAAAAUAUUUUAGUACGAAAGGACCAAAUAUUUGAUAUAUUUAUAUUUAAUUUAUUGAAUAUUA